AUUGAACGCUGGCGGCAGGCCUAACACAUGCAAGUCGAGCGGAUGAAGGGAGCUUGCUCCUGGAUUCAGCGGCGGACGGGUGAGAAAUGCCUAGGAAUCUGCCUGGUAGUGGGGGAUAACGUCCGGAAACGGGCGCUAAUACCGCAUACGUCCUGAGGGAGAAAGUGGGGGAUCUUCGGACCUCACGCUAUCAGAUGAGCCUAGGUCGGAUUAGCUAGUUGGUGGGGUAAAGGCCUACCAAGGCGACGAUCCGUAACUGGUCUGAGAGGAUGAUCAGUCACACUGGAACUGAGACACGGUCCAGACUCCUACGGGAGGCAGCAGUGUGGAAUAUUGGACAAUGGGCGAAAGCCUGAUCCAGCCAUGCCGCGUGUGUGAAGAAGGUCUUCGGAUUGUAAAGCACUUUAUGUUGGGAGGAAGGGCAGUAAGUUAAUACCUUGCUGUUUUGACGUUACCAACAGAAUAAGCACCGGCUAACUUCGUG
rnacentral:rRNA from 1 species